rnacentral:rRNA from 1 species
CCUACGGGGGGCAGCAGUGGGGAAUUUUCCGCAAUGGGCGCAAGCCUGACGGAGCAAUACCGCGUGAGGGAGGAAGGCUUUUGGGUUGUAAACCUCUUUUCUCAAGGAAGAAGCAAGUGACGGUACUUGAGGAAGAAGCAUCGGCUAACUCCGUGCCAGCAGCCGCGGU